rnacentral:rRNA from 1 species
ACGCUCGACACCUACUGGAGGCAGCAGUGGGGAAUAUUGCACAAUGGGGGAAACCCUGAUGCAGCAACGCCGCGUGAAGGAAGACGGUUUUCGGAUUGUAAACUUCUGUUCUUAGUGAAGAUAGUGACGGUAGCUAAGGAGCAAGCCACGGCUAACUACGUGCCAGCACGCCGGACGGUAAUCGUGAGGCCGGGCGUGGACGAAGGC